ACAGAAACACCAACUGACCCUGAGACAAGGCUCGAACCAGCAACCUUUUAGUUGUGUGGCGACAGCACUACCUACUGCGCCACUGCUUCACCCCUUAAUUAAAGUCAUGUUUCUAUGAUGUAGCUUGAUAUAUUUACCUUCAGCCCACGGCUCUCAAUCAAGUUUGGUAUUUGACCCUCACCCUUUAUAACAAAAAAGUUUGGGCACCCCAGCUUUAAAUCUAUCUGUCAAAAUAUUUUCUUCUUCAGAGCAUGCGCACAAACGUCGCGUUUAAAGAAGCCACGAGCGCAGUAUUUUCAGACUAACCGAUCUUUUAAAAUGCAUGAAUGUGCAGAUACGUACUGACUAAAGGAGAGUGAAGCAUUAAUAGCUGAGCUGAAAUCUGAGGAGUGCUCUACGGAGCUCAGCGGAGCGGAUAACCUCAGUCAACCGACAAGCAUGAACACGUGUGCGGUUCGCAGCCUCACCUUAAAGCAGGUCAUUAUUUAAUGACUGUUUCUUCUGUCUGCACAAGAGCGCUGUUGUUCUACAUGGCAAGCACUAAAGCAGGGGACUAAAAGGACCAACGUUUUCUCAAACCACUAGAGGGCACUUUAACAAUGUAUGGCUCAAGUUCGUGUCUAUUUCUUAUUUUUUCUUUUCAUUUGAAUAUUGCCAAAGAACAAGCUUUCAUGUAUGGAGGUAGCAGGGAUUGUGUUAAAAAUGAUAUUUUCUGAUAUUCUACAUAGCUAUUUAACUUACAGUGUCCACUACAAUGUACAGUGGACUUCCAGUACUUAUCAGCGCUUAUGUACAGUGUUAUGAUUUGAGGAAGUUAUUUAGUUUUCACUGUUCUCUAUAUAGAAAAUUCAAAACAGCAAUAUUUUGAGAGUGUUUCGUGUGUAAAAUGUUUCAAUGAAUAUGUUGCAGCAACAGCUCUGACUACGACUACCAGAUUUUCCUGUAACUCGAGUCUUCCAACGGACUGUUUCUUAAUGAGAUCAACAACACAAAAAACCUCACAGGAUUUACUUCUGCCUCAUGAAUGAGUCCUUGGUGAAACACUGGACGCUGGGGAAGCACAGCAAAUACAGAGAGCGAGAGAGAGAGAGAGAAAGAGAAGGAGUCUAGAUCCUGAUGGAAAACAAGAACAGUCACAUAACAGUUUGUGGGCAUGUUGAGCUGCUUUCACUGCUUCACUGUAGCGACACACCAUUUCAGCUGAGACAAAAAUAGACAAACUGAAGUUUCCUUCGUGUUGAUUCAGUGACAGGUGGAUUCUGGGUAAUCUGUCGCACCAGCAGCACUUCAGGACACUCUAAAACUGGUUGGACGUGGACUGAAUCAGACUUUGACGGCUUCUCUUUGAACUGGAGACU